rnacentral:tRNA from 1 species
AUUUGUAUAGUAUAAAUUAAUACGAUUAAUUACCAGUUACUAAAUUUUAUCAAAGCAUAAAUGCAAAUA